AGCUGUUCCGAGGGGUGCUCCGUCAGGGAGCUGAGAUACCGCACCGAUCGCGAUGGAGGCGACAGCGCGGUGACCCUUUGAACCUGAUCCGGGUCAUGCCGGCGAAGGGACAGGGAUGUUUCAGAAUA
rnacentral:ncRNA from 2 species